UCCAUUUCACUGCAGCUGUAUGAAAACCCAAAAUACAAACCACACUUUAAAAAAAGCUAUUUCUAUUCAUUAACAUUACGAUGCAAUGAUUAAAAUGAUUUGGCUCGGGUGCCUUCAAAUCAGGUUAGAACAACAACCAAUUUAAUGAUCCAUUUGUAAGAAAUCAAAAGGAAACUGCAGAGAUUUAAUAUUUUCUUUAUGUACAUACAGAUGUACGAAGGAUUUUUAAGUUUUUAGCAUAUUAUCAGCAAGGAAAUGUCGACAACACCUCUGGGGAAGUCUUGAUGAGUCUCCGAAUUUCGUUAGCGGCUUCAAUUUUGGAACAGGGGUUGUUGGGAUCAUCUUGGAUGAGGAGAAGAAAUGUGUGGGUGACGGCGGCGACGUUGGUGGCGAUGGUGAGGUGACCGGGUUGUGAAUCCAUGGAGUGAGGGGAGGUGAUUCACUGAGAGUUGCUCUGGGUGGUCGAUAUGUAAUUUUUGAGGGUGGUCAGAUGCAAUUUUGGCACAAGCCAGGGGUAAUAAACCUCUCUCUAUAUUGCUUUCAUGGUGGAAUCCAUCAAGGGAUUAUGGGUUCGAUUUGUGUAUCCAGUCAUCAAUUCUUCUUUUUUUGGGUUUUUUUUGAAGCUUUCAACUACUUCAUCUAACUUUGAAGAUAUAUGUUUGAAUCGAACCCAAAUGCAAGAUAUGAAAGAGGAUUCUUAAGGGGUUUCAAAGAUGAUGAUUCAAAUCUAAGACAAAAAUCGUUCCAUUUUAUUUUCUAGGGUUCGGUUUAGGGGUUUUAGGAAAAAUGGAAGGUGAACCAUGCCCAGAUCGACAAACACAUGGUAUAAAGAUCUAGAAAACGAACACAUAUGAGUUCUGGUUUUGAACUUUUCUUACGUUUCGAUUUCAGAUUCAUAACAACAAAUACAUCUUCUUUUUUCUAUAUUUUGUUUCAUUGAUGUUCAUCACAAUUUUUUGUCAUUCACCCAAGUCAACAAAUCGGGUUGGUGGAAGAUGGAUGGUGGCAGAGGUGGGAGAUCUGGGUUUUGUUCUUGAAUUUGGUGGGUUUUGUUCUUGAAUCUCACCUAAGGCUUUUGUCUUCCACAUAUACAAGUCUACCACUUCAUCUAUCACAGGAUAUAAUAUAGCAAGAUAAUAUGAUUAUUUUUCAUCAUUCAAUAUUAUAAUCAAACAACAUGGUUUCUUUUCCAAUCAAUAAAUUUUUGGGUAAAUUACACCGUUGGUCCUUCGUGCACAUGUCAGAAAGCGUGUUUAGUCCCUAUUUCCAAAAUUUAACUAGUGCAGUCCCUCGUUGUUAUUUAUCUUGCACGGUUAGUCCCUAUGCACGUUAACUGUUAAAUUCUUCCGUUUAAGCUACCCACGUGCCUUGCACGCAGGGGCAUUUUCGUCUUUUCAGGGUUUGUAUACAUGAACCAGUAUGGCGCGACUUCGAUAACCGAUCAUUUCUCAUUUCAUCCUCCGUCGACCCUUAACAUUGCACGAGAAAACCCUAGUUUUCUACGAUGGUGAACUGGAGGAUUAGGCAAGAAUAGGAGGAAUAUGAUCUCCAAAGCUCAUACGGUAAAAUUUUCUACAUUUUCAGUUGAUCAUCCAUUAUACGUUCCUAAAAUGUAAUUUUUUUUUUUGGGUUCGCAGCUGACAAUCCAUCUAUGUUCUCGAUACGAUUGAACUAUGGUGGAGUUUUUACGAAGUUUCCAGGCCGCAAAUACAUAAAGGGGAAGAUGAAAUAUAUUGAUGCCAUUGAUAGUGACUUGUUCUCGGUGCAUGAUAUGGACGAGAUAAUGGAAUUGCUUGAUUGUGUGGAACCAGGUAAAAGUAUUUAUUAUCAUUUCAAACGACCAACCUGGGAUUUAGAUUUUGGGUUGUAUGCUUUGGGUUGUGACGAAGAUAUAAACCACUUUAGGUCAUACGUGUAUGAACACAAGGUGAUAGAAGUGUAUACAGAGUUUUGGGAAACCAAGCUCCAUACGUAUCAAAUGUCCCCAAACCCUGCAAAGAUAAAGAUACACGAAAUUCCUGAGUCCCUUUGUCGUAAAAGCUUGUUAUUGACAUGGUCAAAUUCAGGGGAUUGUCCUAGUGAAGAAGCCCCUGUUUUUGAGAAUGUAGAAACUAUGGACGAACCCCCUAGUACAUUACUUGAAACAACCUUGGAACAACCCCUUGUUACAUUGAGUGAAACAGUUGAGUCAACCCCUGCCUAUAUACCAAGAAUUG
rnacentral:lncRNA from 1 species